UACGUAGGGGGCAAGCGUUGUCCGGAAUUAUUGGGCGUAAAGAGCGCGUAGGCGGUCCGAUAAGUCGGCUGUGAAAGUCAUGGGCUCAACCCAUGAAAGCCGGCCGAUACUGUCGUGACUAGAGUCCAGUAGGGGAGCGUGGAAUUCCUGGUGUAGCGGUGAAAUGCGCAGAUAUCAGGAGGAACACCGGUGGCGAAGGCGGAUCUCUGGGCCGUAACUGACGCUGAGGAGCGAAAGCAUGGGGAGCGAACAGG
rnacentral:rRNA from 1 species